rnacentral:snRNA from 1 species
GGACGACAAUCUGGUGUGACAUCUAUCACGGGUUGAUCUGCUGGCUGGGUGGUGUCCCCUUUCUCCCUCACUCUCCAUGUGAGUCCCCCCUCACUGCUGAGCACAUGGUGGAGAGGAGACCUUCUCCUGCAGAGGAAGACCAUUCUUCUGUCAAAGGUACUUGAGUAGCUACACUCCUCUGCCAGAACCUCCAAGCAAGUCCUCAAGGUCCAAACUGUAUCUGAAGACAAGUUCACCCUAGACACUUCUAUAAAUCAUGGAGAUCACAGUCCCCCA